CUGACCUUAGCUCAGUGGGUAGAGUGGUGGACUGUAGUUGGACUAUCUAAAUUGUAAAUCCUUAGGUCGCUGGUUUGAUUCCGGCAGGUUGGA
rnacentral:tRNA from 1 species